rnacentral:rRNA from 1 species
GACGAACGCUGUCGGCGUGCUUAACACAUGCAAGUCGAACGGAAAGGCCCUGCUUUUGUGGGGUGCUCGAGUGGCGAACGGGUGAGUAACACGUGAGUAACCUGCCCUUGACUUUGGGAUAACUUCAGGAAACUGGGGCUAAUACCGGAUAGGAGCUCCUGCUGCAUGGUGGGGGUUGGAAAGUUUCGGCGGUUGGGGAUGGACUCGCGGCUUAUCAGCUUGUUGGUGGGGUAGUGGCUUACCAAGGCUUUGACGGGUAGCCGGCCUGAGAGGGUGACCGGCCACAUUGGGACUGAGAUACGGCCCAGACUCCUACGGGAGGCAGCAGUGGGGAAUAUUGCACAAUGGGCGGAAGCCUGAUGCAGCAACGCCGCGUGCGGGAUGACGGCCUUCGGGUUGUAAACCGCUUUCGCCUGUGACGAAGCGUGAGUGACGGUAAUGGGUAAAGAAGCACCGGCUAACUACGUGCCAGCAGCCGCGGUGAUACGUAGGGUGCGAGCGUUGUCCGGAUUUAUUGGGCGUAAAGGGCUCGUAGGUGGUUGAUCGCGUCGGAAGUGUAAUCUUGGGGCUUAACCCUGAGCGUGCUUUCGAUACGGGUUGACUUGAGGAAGGUAGGGGAGUAUGGAAUUCCUGGUGGAGCGGUGGAAUGCGCAGAUAUCAGGAGGAACACCAGUGGCGAAGGCGGUUCUCUGGGCCUUUCCUGACGCUGAGGAGCGAAAGCGUGGGGAGCGAACAGGCUUAGAUACCCUGGUAGUCCACGCUGUAAACGGUGGGUACUAGGUGUGGGGUCCAUUCCACGGGUUCCGUGCCGUAGCUAACGCUUUAAGUACCCCGCCUGGGGAGUACAGCCGCAAGGCUAAAACUCAAAGGAAUUGACGGGGCCCCGCACAAGCGGCGGAGCAUGCGGAUUAAUUCGAUGCAACGCGUAGAACCUUACCUGGGUUUGACAUGGAUCGGGAGUGCUCAGAGAUGGGUGUGCCUCUUUUGGGGUCGGUUCACAGGUGGUGCAUGCCUGUCGUCAGCUCGUGUCGUGAGAUGUUGGGUUAAGUCCCGCAACGAGCGCAACCCUUGUUCACUGUUGCCAGCACGUUAUGGUGGGGACUCAGUGGAGACCGCCGGGGUCAACUCGGAGGAAGGUGGGGAUGACGUCAAGUCCUCAUGCCCCUUAUGUCCAGGGCUUCACGCAUGCUACAAUGGCUGGUACAGAGAGUGGCGAGCCUGUGAGGGUGAGCGAAUCUCGGAAAGCCGGUCUCAGUUCGGAUUGGGGUCUGCAACUCGACCUCAUGAAGUCGGAGUCGCUAGUAAUCGCAGAUCAGCAACGCUGCGGUGAAUACGUUCCCGGG